rnacentral:rRNA from 1 species
CAGUCGCCGCGGUAAUACGAAGGGGGCUAGCGUUGCUCGGAAUCACUGGGCGUAAAGGGUGCGUAGGCGGGUCUUUAAGUCAGGGGUGAAAUCCUGGAGCUCAACUCCAGAACUGCCUUUGAUACUGAAGAUCUCGAGUUCGGGAGAGGUGAGUGGAACUGCGAGUGUAGAGGUGAAAUUUGUAGAUAUUCGCAAGAACACCAGUGGCGAAGGCGGCUCACUGGCCCGAUACCGACGCUGAGGCACGAAAGCGUGGGGAGCAAGCAGGAUUAGAUACCCGGGUAGUCCCUGUCUCUUAUAA